GCGGCAUAGCCAAGAGGUAAGGCAGAGGUCUGCAAAACCUUUAUCACCGGUUCGAUUCCGGUUGCCGC
rnacentral:tRNA from 1 species